rnacentral:misc_RNA from 1 species
UCGUUUUUAUUUCUUGUAUUCUGGAUACAUUUAAUUUUAUAUACUACAUAUGUUAUUGUCAAAACUAUGAGUUUCCAAUAGCUUUUAUCUGUAUUAAUAUUGUUUUGUUUUUAAUUUCUAAACAAUUGCAAUGGCUUUGAUGACAUUACGAAUAUUGCGUAUGUCCAUGAUCGUUGUCAAGGAAUUUACACAACCUGUUAAAAAAUUAUUUGUAAAUGUCGCCCAACGCAAUAAAUUUUUUCGCAAAUAUAUUAUCAAACCCCCGGCCCGUGGAUACCAUUGGUGUGAGAAAUCUCUCCAUAAGCUCAUAUCUAAAGAUACGCAAUUGGAACAACUAACUGAAGAAGGAACCAUUGAUUUAGGUGCAGCAAUAUGGGCGGAGAUAGUGGUAUUUUUAGGAUGCUCAAAAGUUUUACUUGUGGAAACGAAUAAACAAAUAAAGCAAAAAGAAAUGGCAGAAGAAGAAUUAAUAAAGCGGGAACAAAAUAUAAAUGAGUCGGUGGAAAUUUUGCAGAAUAUAUUAAAUCAGCAGGCUAUUUAUAUUGAACAAAUAAUAGUCGCCCUUGAAGAACUUGGUUUUCACUGGUGUGAAGUUACGCUAAAGAUGUUGCUAUUGAACUUAGGUCGACCGGUUAAGGUGGUGCCUCUCAACGAAGCAAUGGCCCUUGAAUUGGGCGCUGAACUAUUGGGAGAAUUAAUUGUAUUCGCAGUAGCAGCCGCGGGUUUGAUUUUUGAAACGAAAAGGCAAGCUAAGAAAAGAGAUUUUGAAAUUAAAAGUGUGAAUGUCACCAGUACAGAUCUGAUUGAAGCAACAAAAGUAUUAGAAUAUCGACAGCAGAGGCAAAAAAUGUAUAUUCAGGAAAUCGCACAAGCUUUGGCCGAACUAAAUAGCCCCAUCAAUAUAAACGAAUUGGAAAAACGAAAAACUGUGCAAGAAAAUAAUGACAAACUAUUUGAAUAUAUGUUAUAAAAGUGCAUAAAGCAAAAAAUACUCUUUAUAUUAUCGUAUGUAUUUAAAUUUACAUAUUUUCAUCAAUAAUUUAACUCCACAAUAUCGAAGAGAGCAUUAAACAGAAUCAUCAUUUAUAAUAUAUUAUAGUAAAUAAAAAAUUCCCUUUUGUUUGCUGUUUUUUGCGGUAAUUCACAUCAAAGAGCAGGCAUUUGCGUAAAUUAAGAACUCUUUAGGAAAUGAGUCACAGAUUAGAAGCUGCUACCAAAUGUCUAGUAUUUUUAUAUAAUGAAAAAAAUUAAUUUUAUGUACAUUCUUUGCUAUAUAAAAUAUUUAUGUAUGGUAAGAAAUUCAUUAACUCAAAGACUCAAGUUCUGUACUAAUAAUACUCUGCUGAUUAACAAGUUUUUGCUCUUAGCGUAUUGCUCAGCUCGGCUUUGCUUAUUGUGCGGACUGAUUUGUCUUUUUUGUUAUCUCUCUCUCGACGCGCAUCCAAUUGGGGGGGAUCUUUUUAGGUUGAAGCUGUAUAAUUUCAUUUAGUUUAUUGUCUGAAUGUAAUGCUGGCUUUCGCCAAACUUCGCGUUUGUUUAUCAUCGAGCGUCGUGUAGUGCAGACGAUAUAAAGCCAAACAAUCUCGUCCACAGUGUUUCAUGUAGUUUUGUUAACAAAUUUGGGAUAUCAAUAGUUCGACAAUUUUGCGAAAUAUUCAAUUUAAUUUCAAAAAAAAAAGAAAAUAUUCUAUAAAGAAAAUGAAAGGCGCCAUAUUCGUUUUUGUAUUUUGCGCUGCUACAGUGAUCACACAGACCUCUACAGAGGUAGUAUAUCCAGAACCUAUUCUAUUGGAAAAGGAGAAGUCAAACGCGGCAGGGCGCAUUCCACAUUACUCUCCAUCCCGCUGUAAGUCUAAUGAGCUGCUUUACCCGGGCGAUCAUGCUGAUGACUGGAUUUGCGACUGUGCACCAGGUGCAUUAUACUAUCCCGACUCGGAUUCCUGUCAUCCCGCCUUCCGACGUGGUCCUUGUGAAGCCGAGCACAUGCUUAUUUUGGCACGCAAUGCAGUUUUACCGCAAUGCAUAAAGAAUGAUUGUAAAGUGGAUGGAUUGGUGAAAAUUAACAAUGUCUGCUAUCAGAUUGGCGGUUCUGCGCCAUGUCCAAAUGCUCAAUUGUCGUACGUGCUGGGUGUUAAUACGACGACAUUGAUGUUGGAUUGCAUAAAGUUGUCGAUUUCUGUGAAGACGCGAGUAGGCUUGCUGGAUGAUGAUGAACCGGAUUAUGAUCUGAGCAAAGUUGAUUUGUGUGCGCGUGGUUCGCAACGAUCGAUAGAAGGCACUUGUACGCCCAGUGUUAAAAC